rnacentral:rRNA from 1 species
UAAUUUUGUACAAUGGGCGAAAGCCUGAUCCAGCAACGCCGCGUGCAGGAUGAAGCCCUUCGGGUUGUAAACUGCUUUUGUACGGAACGAAAAGCUUUGGGUUAAUAUCUUGGAGGUAUGACGGUACCGUAAGAAUAACCACCCACUACCUACGUGCCAGAAGCCGCGGUAAUACGUAGGGUGCAAGCGUUAAUCGGAAUUACUGGGCGUAAAGCGUGCGCAGGCGGUUUUGUAAGACAGAGGUGAAAUCCCCGGGCUCAACCUGGGAACUGCCUUUGUGACUGAAAGGCUAGAGUACGGCAGAGGGGGGUGGAAUUCCGCGUGUAGCAGUGAAAUGCGUAGAUAUGCGGAGGAACACCGAUGGCGAAGGCAACCCCCUGGGCCUGUACUGACGCUCAUGCACGAAAGCGUGGGGAGCAAACA